CUACGGGCGGCUGCAGUGGGGAAUAUUGCACAAUGGGCGCAAGCCUGAUGCAGCAACGCCGUGUGAGUGAUGAAGGUCUUCGGAUUGUAAAACUCUGUCCUAGGGGAAGAAAAAAAUGACGGUACCCUAGGAGGAAGCCCCGGCUAACUACGUGCCAGCAGCCGCGGUAAUACGUAGGGGGCAAGCGUUAUCCGGAAUCACUGGGCGUAAAGGGUGCGUAGGUGGCCUAGCAAGCCAGGGGUGAAAGGCAUUGGCUUAACCAAUGUAAGCCUUUGGAACUGUUGGGCUUGAGUGCAGGAGAGGUAAGUGGAAUUCCUAGUGUAGAGGUGAAAUUCGUAGAUAUUAGGAGGAACACCAGUGGCGAAGGCGACUUACUGGACUGUAACUGACACUGAGGCACGAAAGCGUGGGGAGCGAACAGGAUUAGAUACCCGUGUAGUC
rnacentral:rRNA from 1 species